rnacentral:tRNA from 2 species
AAAGGAUUAGUUAAUGUUAUAAUAUCAGAAUGUCAAACUGAAGUAAUCAAUAAAUGAUACCCUUUU